rnacentral:rRNA from 1 species
UACGUAGGGGGCUAGCGUUGUCCGGAAUCAUUGGGCGUAAAGCGCGUGUAGGCGGCUCGGUAAGUCCGCUGUGAAAGUCGAGGGCUCAACCCUCGAAUGCCGGUGGAUACUGUCGGGCUAGAGUGCGGAAGAGGCGAGUGGAAUUCCUGGUGUAGCGGUGAAAUGCGCAGAUAUCAGGAAGAACACCAACGGCGAAGGCAGCUCGCUGGGACGGUACUGACGCUGAGACGCGAAAGCGUGGGGAGCGAACAGG